GAUCUGGCUCAGGCUGGAACACCUCCUUAGAGGUUGAUUGUGGUUCGGGGCGGACCGGNGACUUACACGUGGGUAACCUGCCUGUAAGACUGGGAUAACUCCGGGAAACCGGGGCUAAUACCGGAUGGUUGUUUGAACCGCAUGGUUCAGACAUAAAAGGUGGCUUCGGCUACCACUUACAGAUGGACCCGCGGCGCAUUAGCUAGUUGGUGAGGUAACGGCUCACCAAGGCGACGAUGCGUAGCCGACCUGAGAGGGUGAUCGGCCACACUGGGACUGAGACACGGCCCAGACUCCUACGGGAGGCAGCAGUAGGGAAUCUUCCGCAAUGGACGAAAGUCUGACGGAGCAACGCCGCGUGAGUGAUGAAGGUUUUCGGAUCGUAAAGCUCUGUUGUUAGGGAAGAACAAGUGCCGUUCAAAUAGGGCGGCACCUUGACGGUACCUAACCAGAAAGCCACGGCUAACUACGUGCCAGCAGCCGCGGUAAUACGUAGGUGGCAAGCGUUGUCCGGAAUUAUUGGGCGUAAAGGGCUCGCAGGCGGUUUCUUAAGUCUGAUGUGAAAGCCCCCGGCUCAACCGGGGAGGGUCAUUGGAAACUGGGGAACUUGAGUGCAGAAGAGGAGAGUGGAAUUCCACGUGUAGCGGUGAAAUGCGUAGAGAUGUGGAGGAACACCAGUGGCGAAGGCGACUCUCUGGUCUGUAACUGACGCUGAGGAGCGAAAGCGUGGGGAGCGAACAGGAUUAGAUACCCUGGUAGUCCACGCCGUAAACGAUGAGUGCUAAGUGUUAGGGGGUUUCCGCCCCUUAGUGCUGCAGCUAACGCAUUAAGCACUCCGCCUGGGGAGUACGGUCGCAAGACUGAAACUCAAAGGAAUUGACGGGGGCCCGCACAAGCGGUGGAGCAUGUGGUUUAAUUCGAA
rnacentral:rRNA from 1 species